GGAAAUGGUGAUUCACCUUUAUGGAGCAAAUCAAUGAAACAGCACAACUUGAGCAGCCCAGACCACUCAGAAAUGAGCCAUGACUGAAACCAGCUCUCCAGAGUGAUGCUGAUCAUGUUACAGGUAAUCCAAGAAGUGGAGAGUUGCUGCAUGGCAUGCUGAGGAGCCAGGAUUCUCCUACAUGGUUUUGCUACAUGACCAUAGUGGUGGAACAGCAAGACCUGCAGGAAGGGUGGUGCUGGGCAUUCUGCCUCCGGGCACAGAAACACUUCUGAGCAUGGUACAGGUGUUGGAGCUGGCAGGGAUAAUCUGCUAUUGAGACUGUAAUUUAUCCAGCCGGCUCUGCUGAGGCAGAAAACACCUGCUCUGCUCUGGAGUGCUGCAGGAUCAGGAAAGACAGAACUGGACAAGACCUCAUAGAAUGCUGGGCUGUUCCUUUUGCUCCCGGAAGGAUGAACAGAAUAUUGACCAUC